ensembl:lincRNA
UGGGAAUUGGCUGCUUCUGUCACCGCCAGCUCAUCCAUCCUCCCUUCAACAGGUGCACUCACCCUCCUGGGGCCGGGUUGCACGCACAAGCUGGAGACUCCAACCUCACGGAGCUGACCCUCCAGUGGAAAGAGGCAGGAGCCACACCACCCACAGGGAUGGAAUGUACAGCACCUGACAUGAAGACUGGGCUGUCACAUUUACACAUCAGAACUGUUGUGCUGGACACAGACACAGGCCGUUCCCCGGGCUCCAGUCUCCCUCCACCCCGAAGCCACAGUGUCAUGAGGAGGAAGGUGAGCACCAGUGCGGAAAAGACAGGGACUGACUGUUCCCAGGGGCUCGAGCCUCGAGCCUGGCCAGAGGCACAGGCACAGGCUCCCCGGAGUGGAGCCACAGGAUGGAUGAGUUUGCGCUCAGGGGAGGCGGUGGGAGGAGGGGUCUGCGGAGCAUGGCGCAUGGCUGGGAGGCGGGGCUGAGAGAGGAAGAGGAGGGGGAGUUCGGGGCCCAGCUCUGAAGUAGGAGGACAGUCAUGGUUCUAAUGCUCUCACUCAAGUCCAGGCCGGAGGUGAGGAAGAAAACGAGGAAGGAUGAAGGAAUAUUUCAGAAAUGGAAUUGGUGAGAUUUGGUAAGAAGUGUUUAUUUAAUUAUAGAAAUUUGAAUAUCAUUGUGUUUUGAUGUUUAGCAGUUUAAAAAAUCACGGACCACUCUAGUCCCCUGUAGUUUUCUUCCUCUCUCUCUCUACCUUCCCGCUAAAGAAAUGGAUAUUGUGUUUCUCUAGGAGCAUCAUAAGGAACAGUAAGUGGCCUGUGCUGGUGGAUGGGAGAGGAGGAGGAAGCAGCUGCCAUCCUGUAUUUUCUGAAAGGUAAGCGUGUUGAGCCUCAGCUCAAGCUGCCCACUCUCCCCUGCAGCCAACUAUUUAUACCUUGGGACUGUCUAUUCUGAGAGUUGUAAUUAUGAAUGGAGCUCAUAAUUUACGAUCACCUCUGGUUACCACAGAGUUUGCUCCCAGUCUGUUUGGGAGCCCUCCUCUGGCCCAUCUCUUGGUGUGGGCACCUACGCAGUACCAGGCCUCUCUGCAAACUCCCUGUGCAGAGUCUGAACGUGGUCAAAACCCCGGGGGACUCCUCCACGGGUGGCCCCAACUGCUUGUAGCAGAGCCCAGGAGGCCUGUUACAAACAGGUAUUUCUCCUCCUGACUCAUCAGAAUCUCUGGGCGGCCUCAACCAUUUUUUUUUUCUGAGAGGGAGUCUCACUCUUUUGCCCAGGCUGGAGUGCAGUGGCGCGAUCUCAGCUCAUUGCAAGCUCCGCCUCCUGGGUUCACGCCAUUCUCCUGCCUCAGCCUCCCGACGCUGGGACUACAGAUGCCCACCACCACGCCUGGCAAUUUUUUUGUAUUUUUAGUACAGACAGAGUUUCACCUUGUUAGCCAGGAUGGUCUCAAUCUCCUGACCUCGUGAUCUGCCCGCCUUGGCCUCUCAAAGUGCUGGGAUGGGGAGAGAAGUGUGAAACACACAGGCAAAGGGGUACGAGGUGGCCAGGAACCGAGUAGGAAGGAAACACCCCCGGGGUUCCCUAUGAGCGCAGUGAGUUCCAGAUGGUUACGCCGCUGGCCC